AGCGAACGCUGGCGGCAGGCUUAACACAUGCAAGUCGAACGGGCGUAGCAAUACGUCAGUGGCAGACGGGUGAGUAACACGUGGGAAGGUACCUUUUGGUUCGGACCAACUGAGGGAAACUUCAGCUAAUACCGGAUAAGCCCUUACGGGGAAAGAUUUAUCGCCGAAAGAUCGGCCCGCGUCUGAUUAGCUAGUUGGUGGGGUAAGAGCCCACCAAGGCGACGAUCAGUAGCUGGUCUGAGAGGAUGAUCAGCCACAUUGGGACUGAGACACGGCCCAAACUCCUACGGGAGGCAGCAGUGGGGAAUAUUGGACAAUGGGCGAAAGCCUGAUCCAGCCAUGCCGCGUGAGUGAUGAAGGCCCUAGGGUUGUAAAGCUCUUUUAACGGGGAAGAUAAUGACGGUACCCGUAGAAUAAGCCCCGGCUAACUUCGUGCCAGCCGCCGCCGUAA
rnacentral:rRNA from 1 species